GAUAGUAAUCCUGCUCAGUACGAGAGGAACCGCAGGUUCGGACAUUUGGUUCACGCACUCGGUCGAGCGGCCGGUGGUGCGAAGCUACCAUCCGUGGGAUUAUGCCUGAACGCCUCUAAGGCCGUAUCCUUUCUAGUCA
rnacentral:ncRNA from 1 species